rnacentral:rRNA from 1 species
UACGUAGGGUGCGAGCGUUAAUCGGAAUUACUGGGCGUAAAGCGUGCGCAGGCGGUUCGCCAAGUCAGGUGUGAAAUCCCCGGGCUUAACCUGGGAAUUGCGCUUGAAACUAGCGGGCUUGAGUGUGGCAGAGGGGGGUGGAAUUCCACGUGUAGCAGUGAAAUGCGUAGAUAUCUGGAGGAAUACCGGUGGCGAAGGCGGCAUCCUGGACCGAGAUUGACGCUGAUGAGCGAAAGCUAGGGGAGCAAACGGG